rnacentral:rRNA from 1 species
AUUGAACGCUGGCGGCAUGCCUUACACAUGCAAGUCGAACGGUAACAGGUCUUCGGAUGCUGACGAGUGGCGAACGGGUGAGUAAUACAUCGGAACGUGCCCGAGAGUGGGGGAUAACGAAGCGAAAGCUUUGCUAAUACCGCAUACGAUCUCAGGGUGAAAGCAGGGGACCGCAAGGCCUUGCGCUCACGGAGCGGCCGAUGGCAGAUUAGGUAGUUGGUGGGAUAAAAGCUUACCAAGCCGACGAUCUGUAGCUGGUCUGAGAGGACGACCAGCCACACUGGGACUGAGACACGGCCCAGACUCCUACGGGAGGCAGCAGUGGGGAAUUUUGGACAAUGGGCGCAAGCCUGAUCCAGCCAUGCCGCGUGCAGGAUGAAGGCCUUCGGGUUGUAAACUGCUUUUGUACGGAACGAAAAGACUCCUUCUAAUAAAGGGGGUCCAUGACGGUACCGUAAGAAUAAGCGCCGGCUAACUACGUGCCAGCCGCCGCCGUAAGAC